AUUGAACGCUGGCGGCAGGCCUAACACAUGCAAGUCGAGCGGAUGAAGGGAGCUUGCUCCUGGAUUCAGCGGCGGACGGGUGAGUAAUGCCUAGGAAUCUGCCUGGUAGUGGGGGAUAACGUCCGGAAACGGGCGCUAAUACCGCAUACGUCCUGAGGGAGAAAGUGGGGGAUCUUCGGACCUCACGCUAUCAGAUGAGCCUAGGUCGGAUUAGCUAGUUGGUGGGGUAAAGGCCUUCCAAGGCGACGAUCCGUAACUGGUCUGAGAGGAUGAUCAGUCACACUGGAACUGAGACACGGUCCAGACUCCUACGGGAGGCAGCAGUGGGGAAUAUUGGACAAAGGGCGAAAGCCUGAUCCAGCCAUGCCGCGUGUGUGAAGAAGGUCUUCGGAUUGUAAAGCACUUUAAGUUGGGAGGAAGGGCAGUAAGUUAAUACCUUGCUGUUUUGACGUUACCAACAGAAUAAGCACCGGCUAACUUCGUG
rnacentral:rRNA from 1 species